GACGAACGCUGGCGGCGUGCUUAACACAUGCAAGUCGAACGGUGAAGCGCCUUCCUUUUUGGUGGGUGUGGAUGAGUGGCGAACGGGUGAGUAACACGUGAGUAACCUGCCCCCUUCUUCUGGAUAACCGCAUGAAAGUGUGGCUAAUACGGGAUAUUCUGGGUCUGUCGCAUGAUGGGUCUGGGAAAGAUAUUGUUUCGGUGGGGGAUGGGCUCGCGGCCUAUCAGCUUGUUGGUGGGGUGAUGGCCUACCAAGGCGGUGACGGGUAGCCGGCCUGAGAGGGUGGACGGUCACACUGGGAAUGAGACACGGCCCAGACUCCUACGGGAGGCAGCAGUGGGGAAUAUUGCACAAUGGGCGCAAGCCUGAUGCAGCGACGCCGCGUGAGGGAUGGAGGCCUUCGGGUUGUGAACCUCUUUCGACAGUGAAGCAGGCCUGCCUCGUUUGUGGGUGGGUUGACGGUAGCUGGAUAAGAAGCGCCGGCUAACUACGUG
rnacentral:rRNA from 1 species